AUGCUGAAACCUUGUGGAUUAAGUGUCAUUAUCAUUCAACUUUCUUUGGCAGCAGGAAUGAAUGUUGAUUGGAGUGUUCAGAGGACUCCCUCCAGUUCUGAUCUAGGAAACCGGGCAUGUCUUCAGAGGACUCCACUAGGGUUUGACCCACUACAACCAGAUCCUGGGGACCCUGGAAAGUGGCCAAUUUAUACUUAUGGAAAUACCAGGUCGAAGCUAAUGUUUGCAAUCAAUACAAGAGUAGAAUUGUUGUUUAGAGAAUCUCAAAUGUUGUCUAAAUUGUGCCAGAUUAUCACUGAUUUCUCGAUUCCUUUCUUUCACGUACUGUGUUCCAUUAAUGAGACAAUACCUGCUUGUGGUGGAGGUAUUUGUCUCAUUAAGGAGGCUUUACCACUUCAUUUGACUUGGGUAGACAGUUUAACUUUUGGUUGUAACACAUUUGAGACAGAAAUGAGACAACACAUGAGCUUUGGGGAAAGAGAUCUUAGUAAAACACGUCAACAGACUAUAGUUAUUAUGGAAGAGGACCCAGCAGUGAUCAAGGCAGCUACCAGUCUCUUUGAGAGGCAUCUGACUGUAUCAACUUUGCUGAAGUACCAGAAGGGGGCUGUACAUUUGCUGAGGGGAAGCCAUUCCUUUUCCAAUAGAAAUCAUGAUGUCAUACUGGUUGGCCAUGGCAGCAAUGGAGCCAAUGGAACAGUCCAGCUUGCUGGUUAUGGCCCAGAAGAACUUGCCAGAUUUGUGUCAACCUUAACAACAUACAGCAUUUUUGGUCGUAUUGGCACCAUCAGCCUCCUCAGCUGCAACCUUGGAAAUGACCUGAACUUUAUGCGGCAGCUGCUACAAGUUCUCCAGUCUCUCAGCGUGGAAACUCAGCUACACUUACACAACUCCUUCCUGUCUGUUAGUUUUGAUGGACAAAUAAUGACCAGGACUAAUGGGGUCUGGAGGUCCCAUGACCACCGCAGAAGGGUUAUUGCUGAACUAGACGAAAGAGGUGAGCUGCUAAUUCAAGUGGAACUUGGCUGUGCAGGGCCAGUGUUUUCUGAUUAUGAAGGAAAUCUGUUGUAUUUCCAGACACUGGAGUGGCCUCGUCACCCUCAAAUGUUUGUUCCAAUGGAGCUGCGGAAAAAGUACCCUUCCAUAGAUUGCCUGGAGGGGCUCACUUGGAGCUUGUUCUUUGAGGAGAAUGAAAGAAGGCGUGCUCCUAAUUACGUCCCAGACAAAACCCUCCAGAUAAUAAUUUGGCUUACAGAGCCCGGACCAGAAGAAAACAAUAUUGUCUUGAAGCAUAUCAGUAACAUUCAAGAUCUACUUGUGGAGAUACGAUACAAUGCCAAAGAGGAAGUUGCAUCAGACCUUUAUUACGUUCUCAAUGCAUGCAUUUAUAAAGUACAAAGAGAAAGUCUAAAUGUAAGUCUGGCAGGCAAGUUCAUGAACAUGGACAAUCAAGCAGAAAUUGAAUAUUUCCGUAAGACUUUUAGUGAGCAGGGUGAGUUUUCCCUGCAGGAGUUGAGACAGGGUCUCAAAGCAGCCAAAUUCAAUGACUUCUGUCGCCAGACUUUCCAGUUCCAGCAGUGUAGCUACAACUGUGAGAGAUGGGGUCGAUACUUCAUGGCUGCAGUGUUUUCGUCAUCCGUGUAUAACUUCAGGACCUUCUCGCUUUUUCUUAUGAGCGUGAUAGGUUGUGAAGUUGGUCGCUUGCGGGGUACUGACAGCCCCCUGUGUACAGCCUUUGUUGGACUUGACCACCCCAUGGAGACUGACCAACCUUGGCCAAAACAUCUGCGACGAGGAUUCUAUGGCGGUACUGUUGACAACUAUGAAAUGUCACCAAGAAAUACACAGAUUUGGUUGGAUCAGGUUGUUGAAAAGGAAAAUGCCCUGUACAUCAAAUCGAAACAGCUGAUGAAUGCCGUUGGACAUGACGAGCAAACAGAGCUAGAAAUCUUUGGGAGGGUUAAAGUCAUGAAUAGAUAUGUGUUCUCUUCUUAUCUUGAGUACUUUCGAGGUACACCAGAGGGAAAGAAACUCAAGAGAGGUUGUACUCCCUCUUUAAAUGAGAAUACACAUCCAUAA
ensembl:lncRNA